CCUACGGGAGGCUGCAGUGGGGAAUAUUGGACAAUGGGCGAAAGCCUGAUCCAGCCAUGCCGCGUGUGUGAAGAAGGCCUUCGGGUUGUAAAGCACUUUCAGUGGGGAAGAAAGCCUUGGGGCUAAUACCCUCGAGGAAGGACAUCACCCACAGAAGAAGCACCGGCUAACUCCGUGCCAGCAGCCGCGGUAAUACGGAGGGUGCGAGCGUUAAUCGGAAUUACUGGGCGGAAAGCGCGCGUAGGCGGUCUGAUAAGCCGGUUGUGAAAGCCCCGGGCUCAACCUGGGAACGGCAUCCGGAACUGUCAGGCUAGAGUGCAGGAGAGGAAGGUAGAAUUCCCGGUGUAGCGGUGAAAUGCGUAGAGAUCGGGAGGAAUACCAGUGGCGAAGGCGGCCUUCUGGACUGACACUGACGCUGAGGUGCGAAAGCGUGGGUAGCAAACAGGAUUAGAUACCCCGGUAGUC
rnacentral:rRNA from 1 species